UAGCCAGCUUUGAGUUAGCAAUUGCAUUGACACAACAUGGUACCUAUUGUUAGCCUUUGCUAACAACUUUACCUAGUUAUAACUAGCUAACGUGCUGAUAUUGGACAUUUAGCUAAGUAAUAAAGAUUGUGGCUCGACUGAGAAGGUCAUACCUGGAGGUUCUAAGUUCACGCAUAGCUCCAUUCUCAACCACCUCUAGAGGCAGAAACCUGACCAGCAACUCAAAACGUGGGCAUUCAUUGAACCCAGCCAUAUACAGAACAGGGAGUAGUCGGAGUGAGGCCCAAAGUGAGAGAAUGGAAGACAACCAGACACCCCUGUCCAACCAGCAGCUUGUGCAGCUCAUAAGAUCUUUCAUCUUAGUAGAACAGGGGCAGAGGCAGGAGCCCAGAGCCCUCACUACGGACCUGAAACCUUUACAGGAGGACCUGCACCUGAAGAAGACCAAUGUCUAUAGAUCUAUACCCUACUCACGCCUGGGGUCCAACAGAGACGCACACUGUUACAGAAAGGCAUAUCCACACCUGGUGGUGUUUAAAGUUUCCUGCCAGGAGUGGGGUCAGCUGCUGCUGCAGAAUGAGGAGUGGGAGUCUGCUCUGGAGCACGCCCUAGUGGCGUGGAGGUACACCAGUGAACUGCCACAGUGGGACACCAGCAGCCACAACUUGGUGAGGGAACAGUGUUACAGCAUGCUGGCAGCACACUGCAUCACAGCUCUACAGCACUAUUGCCCAGACCCCAGCAAAGCAAUAGAGCUGCACAGGAGGUUUAAAAUGGCACAGCUGCACAGUCAGUUGAUCUAUCCUUGUAUUCAGGAGCUGGAGAGAAGCCUCGGCGAAGCACAGGUUUGUUCCAUGAACACCCGCUGAAAUGGCCAACCUGCUGAAAUGGCCAACACUAAGAUCAGCUGACAACAAUCAGCACGGCUUCCAAGUCUAUGGGGUUGCACUAUUGAACAGCGUAUAUCAGUGGUUGCCAUUCAACUAUGUUUGGUAUCCUUGCCUUGUGUUGCGCUAUUCCCCCUUGCCUACAGUAUUCCGCCUUGCCUACAGUAUUCCCUCAGAGUAAAUACAAGAGAAAGCUUUGAAUUUUGGUAAGCUGUUUUUUAAAUAUGAAUUUAAGUUUUUGUAUUUAAGUUGUUUUGUAAAAUGUGUUUAUUGCCAUUGAACUAUUGAAUGUUAUCAUAAGGAAAGUAUGAAAUGGCCUUUAAAAUGUGAAAUGCUGUCAUAGGGAAAUUAUGAAUGUCCUUUUCACCAAGAUGUUUUAUAUGUGGGGGAUGUUUUUGUGGAUGUUUUGAAAAAUGCCAUGAUACAGCUGCCUUAUUUCAACUUGGCUGAAUGCUACCUGUCUUGUAAAUAUUUGUCUAAAGUAACUGUUUUGCACUGUUUUCUUCAUCCUGGAAACUUGACAUUUUGAUAAUAGAAUCUAAUUUAAUAAAAUUCUACUUAGUUUUUCAACAUUCUGUUGUCAAUUUCUGGUUUUGUCUCAUCUAAAACACAUGCCACUGAUUUACUGUUUUGAGACAUUGGAGACCUGCUUUGUCACUGAAUUAAUUUGCUGGUUCUCCCCUUGCAUUUUGUCUCAUCCAGAGGACAGAAGUUCAGUGCAAGC
rnacentral:lncRNA from 1 species